AAAAAGGUUAAUAAGGGCACUAAUAGUGGAUGCCUUGACAAUCAAUACCGAUGAAGGACGUAGGACUCUGCGAUAAGCCUCGGGGAUCUGAGAACGAGAAUUGAUCCGGGGAUUUCCGAAUGGGGAAACCUACCACAAGUCAUGUUGUGGGGCCGUUACCUGAACACAUAGGGUAAUGAGACGGGAACCAGCCGAACUGAAUCAUCUUAGUAGGUUGAGGAAAAGAGAAUAACCAAUGAUUCCGAAAGUAGUGGCGAGCGAAAUUGGAACAGCCCAAACCUUAAUUAAUUUAGUGGUUUAACGACCUAUAUUAAUAAGGGGUUGCGAAAUUAGAUAAUUUUUAUGCCGAGUGUUUUAUUCUAGAACAUUUGGCAUAAAAAGAGUCAGCGUUAACUGAACUCAUAAUGGAAGAAACUUUUGAUCGUAGCGGAAGCACCUGGAAUGGUGUGCCAAAGAUGGUGAAAGCCCAGUAUGCGAAACGGUCAUAGGCAUUAUAUAUCUUUUUUCAAGUAGGACGGGGCACGAGAAACCCUGUUUGAAUCCGGCAGGACCACCUGCCAAGGCUAAAUAUAUUGAUUGAUCGAUAGCGAACUAGUACAGUGAUGGAAAGGUGAAAA
rnacentral:rRNA from 1 species